UACAGAGGCCUCGAGCGUUAGGCGGAAUCACUGGGCUUAAAGCGUGUGUAGGCGGACUUCUAAGUACCUUGUGAAAUCCCACGGCUCACCCGUGGAACUGCUGGGUAUACUGGUCGUCUUGAGCCUUCUAGGGGCUACCGGAACAAAUGGUGGAGCGGUGAAAUGCGUAGAUAUCGUUUGGAACGCCAAUGGUGAAAACAGGUAACUGGGGAUGUGCCGACGCUGAGACACGAAAGCCAGGGGAGCGAACGGG
rnacentral:rRNA from 1 species